AUUUUGAUAUAUAAACCAGUUUAAUGUUUUCUGCACAGACCCUGGCUUUCCUAAAUUUUAUAUUUUGUAAAGCCUGCGUUUGUAUUGGACCUUCUGGUUUCUUUCAUAUUGAAAAUC
rnacentral:pre_miRNA from 1 species